UGGCGGACGGGUGAGUAAUGUCUGGGAAACUGCCCGAUGGAGGGGGAUAACUACUGGAAACGGUAGCUAAUACCGCAUAACGUCGCAAGACCAAAGAGGGGGACCUUAGGGCCUCUUGCCAUCGGAUGUGCCCAGAUGGGAUUAGCUAGUAGGUGGGGUAAUGGCUCACCUAGGCGACGAUCCCUAGCUGGUCUGAGAGGAUGACCAACCACACUGGAACUGAGACACGGCCCAG
rnacentral:rRNA from 1 species